GUCCCUGACAUAUACCAGCUGGUUAAGGAGCGUAUUUCUAGACCACGCAGAAAAGAGGAAAUUAAAAAGAACCUAAUACUCACGUGAAAUUGAAUUCAAGAUGGACUUCACAUCCACUAUUUAAGUUGAAAUCUCUGAACUUCCUCAAAGCAACCUUCUUCUGGCAGUGUAUGCGGAGGUCCCCAAGGCACUCAAGAACCGCUUGGGAAGGAGCUACAGCUAUACUUUUUGCAAUGAUGGAGGGUCGAAUAACAAUGAAAAAAGAAUUGAUGAAGUACUAAGGAAGAUGAAGUCAUCCAGUAGAAAGACCUUGGGCCCUGACACAAGUGUGGAAGACUUUGGAUCUUGAAGCUACAUGGGACUACCUCAUCAACUUUUAUGUGAGCAAGAAGAAAACUUUGUAUUAUGUUAAGCCAUUAAAAUUGUGAAGGCCUAUUUAUUACAGCAGCUACCAUGAUCUCACUGAUACAAUUCCAUAUUUAUUUUUAAAUUCAUGGACAAUUUGUCUUUAAAUUGACAUAUAUAAACACUUAGAGUGAUUAUUAAUACGGUUGAAUUAAAAACCCACUAUGUUUAAUGUUCUAAUUAUUAUAUUUGUUCUUUGUUUCAUUUUAUUUCCCUCUUCCGCGUUCUCCAGUUUCAAGUGAGCAUUUUAUGUGAUUCCAUUUUAUGUCCUCUCACACCAUAUCAAUUAUACUUCUUUAAAAAAUAUUUUUAGUAGUUGACUUGAAAUUUCAAACAUGUCCUUUUAACCAGUUUAAGUCCACCUUCAAAUAACUACAAUGCUUCAUGUGUAUAUGAUGCAGUUACCUUAUUAUAGAGUAUUCCCUAUUCCUCUCUCCAGUCUCAUUUAUUUUACUUAUCCAUGUGCUAUAAUAACCCAAUAUAUUAUAACUAUUAUUGCUAUUAUAUUAAAAAUGGAAAAACGAUUAGAGACAUCAUUUUACCUUGAUUUAUU